rnacentral:lncRNA from 1 species
GUGCCCAGGAGCCCAGACCGGCGGCUCCACGCUACCCUCCCUCAUUGGCUGCUGCUGUCUGGGACCUAGACAGUUGUCGGUUGCUGAUUGAGCCUGGGCGGUCCAUAGGGGUGCGGAGGGAAGGUGCACGGGUCGCCAUGUUGGGUUAGGGCAGCUGCUUUGGCUGCUUACCCGGAACCCUCUCAAUCUAUUGACUCGACCCGAAUGCCGAGUCUUGGUUCCACACCCACUCCUCCCGACGCCCGGACUCGUAGAGCAGCAUUUCUGGCGCCACCCUAUAGCCAGUAGGAUGGGCGGCGGGAGCAUGGAUCAGAAGCGGUUCCUUGUUUUGAACUACCACGUGGAUUGCCGAGCCAAUCAAGGGGAACGUCCACUUUGAUUCGCCGGCUUGCUCAGACCCCGCUUUAACCUGGGUCAGACGGCAGAACCUCUUAAACGAAAGGUCUCGGCCUGCCUAGUCGUUUCCCGUCCUGGGCCUCUGAGGACCUCGCGGCAAGGCUGCGAGCAGAGGCGUUGGUCUACCUUCCAAAUGGAGGCCAUGGGAUCUUGGGAGGUUUUGUUCUCCACUCUUGGAGACACGAGGAUGGGAACUGGAGACAUUACCGCCUGGACUGCCCUAAUGCUAAGUGCAAGGGCUUUGGCCACUCGCCCUGGAAGGCGGAAUAUGGAGAGCGGCCGACUAAGUGCAGAAAAGUAUCUGGAGCUAAAAGGGCUUGGAGCCCGGCGACAAGGGUUUGAGAGGGGCACUUAUGCUCCCAUUCAGUGAAAUCAGUGGAUCAAUAUCAGUGGAGAAAGGAGAUGUCUGCAUGUGAUGACUGGCUGCCUCCGUGGACUGAGGUUCAGACGUGCCUGGAAACAAACCUAAAGCUGCCCUACCUAAGAAUCACAUCCCAAGCUAGACUUGACCCUCAUACCUGUGAACCCAGACGGUCCAGAAACAAGCUUACCAGUGAGUCUGGGCUCAGGAACAGGUGUGUGUGCCCUUGGUGCUGGGGCUAUUGGAUUGGCCUACCUACAUCCUCAACAGUCUCCACUCUGCCUGAAUGAUCCUGAGGGUAUCAGAAAGCCCUACACUGUUGGUACCUGGGCCCCAACAUACUGUGAACGGAAAUGGGCCUUCUUUCUUUUCCUAUAGGUUAUUUGCUGACAGUUCUAUUAAACUUGUUUCUAAGAGAAAAACACUGUGACCAUGGGUUUUUCUGUUUGGAAAGAAUUGUGGAGAAGGGAUAAGCAGCUGGGGCCAGAACUUGGCCAUAGCAGGCCAGAAGGCCAACUAGUUAAGGGAACAGGGGAGCAACAUACCUGCUCAUCAAGGAGAAGGCAGUUUUAUGGCCAUCACUGAUGGGAAUGUAAGCAAAUAAAAGGAAAACAAUUGCCUCAAGACAAGUUAUUUUAAAAAGUAACUUAGAAGCACCCUGGUGAAAUAUUACCAUACCCCCACCAUAAUACCAAGAGUAACGUCAGUGCCCUGACAUGAAAGAAUUCCCUAUAAAGUCACCACUGUGCCCUACUUAACAGACUGGGGAGGUUUGAAAAACUGCCCUUCUGCCUGUCCUGAACCCUGAGUGGUGGGCAGUCCCUAUGGGUUUGGAGUGGAGGGCUCAGUACUUGGCUGCUUGGAAGAUAACAGUUUUACCUGUGUGGCUCUCUGCCUCCAAAAGGAGAAGUUUCCUCCCACCAUUUAUUUAUUUAUAUAUUUUUAAACCCAGGAGCUUGCUGAACCUGACCACACAUCCUCAGGGCCUGGAAGCCAGGCUGGGCAGCCAACCCCAAGGCUCAGAGGUAGUGCUGAAAAUCCCUGAUUCAGGCUCUAAGCGGCAGGCAUUUGGGGCCACCUGGGAAAGCAAAAGGUUCUCUGGCUCCUGCCACACUCCAGCCUCACUCUCACACCAGCUCUUUCUAAUCCAAGGAAGGGGCCUAACUCACUGCAGGAGUGAAAGCCCUUCUAGCUUCAUUUCAGUCAAGCCCCAGGACGAGAGAUAAUCACCCUUUCAAGUCCAUUUUGAGCCACGGAGGCUUCUGCAGAUCAUGAGGUGUUUUGAGUGGAAAGGAGCGAAAGGUCCAAAAUAAAAGUGAUGAAUAACGUCCAAGUGGGAUAAGAGACCAGCCCGGCCCAUGGAAGCCUGGCAGUAUGCCCUGGGCAUGCAGUUAGGCCACCAUGUGCCUGACCAGCCCCUCUAUUGCACACUCCUAGGAGGAGGAGUGGGCAGGUGGGCAAGCAUUUGUGCAAAACGGCUUGUGGCCCCUCUGUCCACCUGUGACAUGUAGUCCAUGUGGUCCUUGCAAUCCCUGAAUGCAAUCAAGAAUGCUUCUGUCCAUACGGCAAAGGAAGAGGCCCCUAGUGCAAUUUCCAUUCUUCAAAUCUCUACCCUGGAGGGAGGGCCUGGGCUCCUACUCCUGGACUCUGCAAUGCUGCAAAACAAUUAUGUCUGUGCAAUAUUUCCAUAUAGCUCCAUGUGGUCUGGAACUGCAGGAGGAAGAAAGCAACUACUGCAUAAAGAAAAACCCAGAGAAAAUGGAAACGAAAAGAAAAUGAAAGAAGCCACAACCCGUCAUGCUGCUGUGGCCUCUGAACAUGGCGAAACAUGAGUUCACGGCAGUAGAACAGAGACUCUGGUGGCUUUCUCCUGAGUGCCAAGCCUCUAGCUCCCUGGGAGGGACUUGCUUCUCAGACCUGGAGUGCCUGGGCAAGCUGCUCAUGGAAGGUGGUGGUGCAGCUGCCUCUCUGCUUCUCACUGUUCCCCUCGGCCGUGCUCCCAGGCCAGGCGGGCCUGUUCCUCCUUGACACUUCCAGGAGGCAGGGAGGCCUUGCGGUGCAGGCCCCUUGGCCUCUCAGCCUCCUCCCGCAAUAGCAUACCCUCAUCAUGCUCUAGGGCUGGCAGGCGGGGGUGAUAGGGCUUGGGUGGCAGCGCAGGUGGGUCCAUGGGAUCCUGAGGGAGGACACACCCUGGGGCUGAGUGGCUCCUGCAUGGCUGGGACUUGAUGGCAUCAAGGACAGCAGAUUCAGAGAGGCUGUAGUGGACAGGGAGGUAGGGCGGCUCAAGGUCUUCAUCGCCAUUCCAGGCCUGGCUUGGCAUGGAGUCCAUGGUGUCUGUUCGAGGUGGGGCCUCUGAGGAAUGCCCAAAGUUACUCUCACUUAAGGAGGAUACACCGCUACUGGCGCUGCCAGACAGCGUGGAGUUGCUGCCAUCCAGGCCCGAUUGGGGGCUUGUAGGGGAGGCUGGGAUGGGGUGGAGAGGAGACUGUGCGAAGGAAAGGGUGGGUAAGUUAGAACCCCUCUCUAGACAGGUGGACUGGCCUGCCAUGUGGAGACCAAGAGUCAGCUUAUCAAUGAAUUUUAAAGUCUCAUCAGCUUCAUGUCUGUUUCUUCAGCAAUGACCCCUUAGGUAUCUCCCCCCACAAAAGCAAGCUAGCGGAGCUCCAGCAUCACUAUGAUGUCUGAGAGCCAAUAAAUGCCCCUGCCCUGGCUGAUGGGCACUGAUGCACCUGGGUCGAAGUCCCAGGUUGGGUGUGGUCUGAGUUACUGACAGAAGGGCUGGGCCAUCAAGCAGAAGGAACCCUGGUGUGCCAUACAUCAGAUGAAUGCUAUUCUGAUGCUAAAAUUGGUC